CAAAAAGACAAAGGAACAGUGAGAAAGCUCUGCCAAAGAAAGCUUUCAUUUUGAACAUUUAUUGAUAAAGGCUGACAAGUAACUGGACACCUCUAAUACUUUGGGUGUUUCCUCGUUAUUAUCAACAGCAUAUGGUCGUUUUUGACCGGCACAGCUGGUCUGAAAUCAGAAAUAAUCUCAUGGGUUGAAAAAAGCAAUUAGCAAACAUGCACACGCACACAGAUUGCUCUGGUUAGGAAAUUAGGUUAUUAAACUCAACUACCAGUAAUGAGAAUAAUAAAGAUGUAAGUUGCCACACCUUUGCAGGUGCAACAAGAGUAGACAUGUCAAUCAAACACGGCCUGCACACGCCCACAAAGUCCUGAGAAGAGGUUUAAAUAGAAACACCUGUGUGGGUUUACCAGCUGUGUGAGGCCACAUAACCUGAGCAAACCUUGUGAAAACAUGAACCAGCCACAGUGUUAUGAAGCCCAAAGACUACAGCUAACAAUUAACUAACCUGUGUUUGGGUCAAACUACCUAUUAGCCAGUUUACUUAGCUGGCCCUACUGGCUUUCAGGUUGCUAAUGAUAGUCCAGAAUGGGAAAACCACUCAAAGCUGUGGCGUCUUCAGUAGUUGGCAUACAGUUUUAUGUACAAAUGUGGCAGAAACAAGCUCAUCAGGCCCACCAGCAUGAGAUGUCGAGGUCUUGCAAAGAUAAGUCAGUGUUAAGAAAAUGUGACCGCUUGUCCAAAGUCUGGAGCCAGCUGGAACAUAACACAUGAGCUAAUUCGAAAUCUGGCAACGUCCACAGAUAACUUAAAGGUUCCUCCAGUCCCACAUUUACACCUCUGCAGGCAGCCUUUCCCAAAGGUCCCUGCUGGACACGAGUCCUCACAGUAGCGUCCGAUGAACCCCGGAGGACACUGACAGGCGCCCUUGACUGGAUCGCAGAGAGCUCCGUUCUCACACUUGCACUGCUGACCGCAGCCUGGCCCCCAGUGUUUGUCAUCACAGGCUGAAAGGGCAAAAGAAAAACAAGUGUUCAACAAAACCAAACCCUGUCCCCACAGUCCCUCCGGUCCAUGCUGUCUGCUCUGCCUUCACUCAUCUUUGCGGCGCAGCAGGGGAAUGAAAACUGGGACAAAACAAUAGGAAGCUGAGGAAACAUCUUGCAUGUACAUCCAGGUCUACAACAUUCUCUUCCUCUGAAAUGUAAACAGACGUGAGUUGGGAAUAAAAUCAGGCGCGUAAAAGGAAAAGUCCUUCAACGAUGCCAUUAGACAUACACAGGCUCUACUACUCACACCUUUUUUUUUCCAAAAGCAAACAUCUUUUUUGGCUUCAGUGUCCACUUUGACAAAGAAUCCUUUUUUUUCAAAACAGAACUUGUGUUGUUUUGAGUAAUGGUGACGCUGACAAAUAGUGAGGAUCUGUCAUCCUGCCUUUCCUGAGCCUAGGUUUGUCUUUUAGAAGUGUCCUGGAAAAUGGAAUAGAAAAAAGAAAAUAAGUCCUCUCAUAAAAAUGCAAGACGGACGACUCCGAGAGUCAGAGCUUAACACAGCUGGUGGAGUGGAUCUGGGUCUGAGCUCAAGAAAAACAUCAAGAGCUCUAGCAGUUCACGUCCACGCGGUGCCAAGCAUGACACAAAGGCCAUUUGUUUUUCACAUGCAAAACUCUCAUCCUGUAUGGUAAACUCAUGAUAUUACAUCUUAUUACUGACAAAAUAAACUUUUGCACUCAAUCUUCAUGAUAAAUUUCACUUGGACAAGUAUUAAAAACAAACAAAAACAUAAACACGACCCCUUUUUUCUUUAUAGGGUUGGAAAUAAAAAGCGAGAAGCCCUCCGGGACGUGAAUUUGGUGCUGCAUUUCCUCUAAUUCUACGUCUCAGGUUUCACUUGGUUCCAGUCAUCCUGCAUAGACACCACAGGGAGACUCAGGCACCAGUAAAAGCCCCUGAAAUCGUAAUGAACAAUGUCUCCACUGCUGCUCCACCCACCACCCCCAA